rnacentral:rRNA from 1 species
CCUACGGGAGGCAGCAGUGGGGAAUAUUGCACAAUGGGGGGAACCCUGAUGCAGCGACGCCGCGUGAAGGAAGAAGUAUUUCGGUAUGUAAACUUCUAUCAGCAGGGAAGAAAAUGACGGUACCUGACUAAGAAGCCCCGGCUAACUACGUGCCAGCAGCCGCGGUAAUACGUAGGGGGCAAGCGUUAUCCGGAUUUACUGGGUGGAAAGGGAGCGUAGGCGGCAGUGCAAGUCAGAAGUGAAAGCCCAAGGCUCAACCAUGGGACUGCUUUUGAAACUGGCAAACUGGAGUGUGUGAGAGGAUAGUGGAAUUCCAGGUGUAGGAGUGAAAUCCGGAGAUAUCUGGAGGAACAUCAGUGGCGAAGGCGACUAUCUGGCACAUAACUGACGCUGAGGAGCGAAAGCGUGGGUAGCAAACAGGAUUAGAUACCCGUGUAGUC